rnacentral:lncRNA from 1 species
GAAACAUUUUAAGUUGGGGCAACUCCUCUUACAUAAGAGAGUCUUUCUGCCAAGUAAUUACCUCAGUUGGUCUUUACGUUGUAGGUGAGUGUUUGUACAGAGAUUUCCACUCCUCAUGAAACAAAGAGCUACAGGAGAGUUCACAUGCUCAGUAUAUGGCACAAACAGGACCAAAGCAGACUUGUGCUUGGUAAAACUGAAGAAAAACCUCUCCAAAAAGUACAGAGAAAAGGAGAACAUAUGCUGAACUGUAAUCCUGUCUCCUGUGGAGUCCUUCUCACUGCUGCUGCUUCCAGCAAAACCAGAGAUAUCUUGACACCUUGCAGAAGCUCGGGAACACCUGGCUGGCUCUCAAGGUGCUCUAUUUCCUACUUUGUAGCUGCAAAGCUGACAUCUCAACAGCAGGAAAGCGUGACCCUGAUGCCAUGCCCUGAGAUUACAAACAAUGGAAUUGGAGAAAGAAACAUUCUGAAGAGAAAUUCUAAGUCACUGUUUCCUCUUAAGGGUUAAAUUAGACCUACAGCAGCAAUACCACCCUGCAGACAUGCAUAGGCAGACAUAGAUAUAUAGAGAAAGAGCAUUCAUGCUCUUUUCACUUAAAAGGAUGCAUAGGUUUUUUGUUGGUGUUUUUUUGUUUGUUUGUUUUUGGUUUUGUUUUUUUGCUUUACAGGAAUUCUCACAGACUUCAAGACGCGACAUUGAUGAGAGCAUGCUGUCUCUUGCCUAAACAAUUUCAAUUGAUUUUAUUAAGAAAAAGAAAUCUUGGAAUAGCAUCUGCUUUAAAAGACAAUAUCUCUCUUUCUUAUUCUGACAUAAUAAGUGCUGACAGAAAAGAGCACAGAAGUAUAUCUUCUGUGAGACGUCUCAAGUGUCUGACAGCUGCAUUCAGUGCUGCAUCUGGGCUGGAAUUUUCAAGAGUGCAAAGACACAGGUAGUCAAAUUCCAAGAGAGUUGGGGCCUUUGUUCUGGAGUUUGUUUUGAAGCUUAGACUUAAUCCUUGCUGCAAGAAAUAUUCUUUGCUGCAUGGUAAGCCUCACUGAACAACCAAGUAAUGUUGUUACCCAGGCCAGGAGUACUCCAAAGUACAGUGGAUCAAAUAUAGGAUGACAUGCACAAGAUAGCCUUGCUAAUUAAGUUUCUGAAAUCCUUGCUGGUUUACUCAGAGAAGACAAUCAACAAACAGUUUAUUAGAAACAAACCCUAUGGUGAGUGGUAUCAUGGCCAUGGAAAGAGAGGUAUCAAUCCCAAGUCCCUAAGGGCUAUGCCAAAUGGAGGGAAAGAUGCCCAAGGCUACUUCUGCUUCUUAGGAAGAAGUAUCACCGGUUCUUUUAGUAGCAAGAAGGCUGCAAGAAGGUCAAGGAUGAGGCUUACUGUCUCUGAAGAUAACAAUGAGCAAACUGGCUGUAUGUCAACCUAGUGGGACAACUAGUAUAUUAGGAAUGAAUAUACGUGCUCCCAGCAAAGGAAUAUCUAACAACAUAAAAGAUGAAUGCUGUGCUGAUUGUGAUAUAGUCUUCAAGAAUCUUGCAAAGUGUGAUAUCAAAAUAGUGGUGGAUGGCUGCAGUGCCAAAGUAGAAAAGGAAGAUGUGGAAGAGUGGAAGGGAUCUAAUGUCUAUGACAUAACAAUUAACAAUGACAUGAGAUUAACUGGUUUUGUAGCAGUUAAGGACACAGUUGAAUAACACAGAAACUUGCUUUAAAAUGUUAUCAGGCAUGUAUGUCUAUCUACAGAGGAGGUUUCUAGUAAUCAGAUUGUAUAUUUUGUCUCAAGGCAAAAACUGGAAGCCUAAGAAUUGAUCAUAGAAUGAUAGCACAAACGUGAUAAGAAAGUUCAGUAGACCAGUUACAGAUAAAACACAGCAUCCUGGAGGUAUAUGAAAAACAGGCUGGAAAAGGUAGCAGUUAAAAAUAGACUUCAGAAGAAAUCAUGGCAGACUGAAUCAAAGAAGAUAAUUCAGGAGAAUUCCAAGUAUGAGAAACAAAGGAUCAUUUAACAGCACGUGGGAAAGUAAUUGGAAACUGACAUGCAAAGUGAGAAUACAACUUACAAGUUGGUCUCAUGCUAAGAAGUGUGAUAAAACCAAAAAAGAAGAACCUGAAGUACUUAGGUCCAGUAGGACUAUGCAGAGUAAAAUACAUAUAAUGUAGGAGUAUUUUAUGAGAGCUACAACACAUGGAGAAAAGAAGAUCAACUGUGAGUGUGAAAAAGGACCGUGUAAGAAUGCAGUUCUGGACAGAGGGAGGGAGUUCUUUAAUGACUUUCUUAGUACAGAUAGCUUAGCUGUUUGUAGAAGAGAAAAGUUUAAGAGGUUUAAGAGGCAGCUGGAAUUCUCGGAAACAACAAGGAGAAAAAUGUUGGAAAUUUUAGAACUGAAUUACUGAAAUCAGAGAGAUGAUGGAAAGGACUUUGUGGGAUGGUGGGAUAAGAUAGCUUAAAGACUAUUUCAAAUGACUUUGUUGGAUUGGAAAUAGUUUCUCCAGCAAUUUUUAUAAAGUGUUGGAAUAGAUUAUGAAAAGGAUCACAAAACUUCCUGCUCAGUACAGUUUAUUAAUUCCUGUUUGUGACAUUUUAUACACCCAUCCGUUACAGAAAGGAGAUAACAAAUGAAUAGCAAUGUGGUUUCUGGAAAAUAAGAGUGGGAGUAGACAGAAAGAUUGACUCCUUCUUGUCUCCUUAAGGUGUCCUGGGAGUCAUGGUACAAUUAUAAAAUUUGCAAGAGGGACUGAAAUUAGAUGAUUGUCACCAGUCCUUCUGAUGUUACUAAUGGUUUUACUGGCUGCAAAAGAAAGACAGUGUGAUACAAAACAUAGCUGGAGACUCCAAGGAAGUAGAAAGAAAAAUGGGACUCAAGGUAAAUAAAGAUAAAACCAAUUAUUGACUGUUAUCUGAC